UGAAGUUAGCGGCGGACGGGUGAGUAACACGUGGGUAACCUGCCCUAAAGAUUGGGAUAACUCCGGGAAACCGGGGCUAAUACCGGAUAAUAUUUUGAACUGCAUGGUUCGAAAUUGAAAGGCGGCUUCGGCUGUCACUUAUGGAAGGACCCCCGUCCCAUUAACUAGUUGGGGAGGGAACGGCUCACCAAGGGAACGAUGCCUAACCCAACUGGGAGGGUGGUCGGCCACACUGGGACUGAAACACGGCCCAAACUCCUACGGGAGGCAGCAGUAAGGAAUCUUCCCCAAUGGACGAAAGUCUGAAGGAACAACCCCGCGUGAGUGAAGAAAGCUUUCGGGUCGUAAAACUCUGUUGUUAGGGAAAAACAAGUGCUAGUUGAAUAAGCUGGCACCUUGACGGUACCUAACCAGAAAGCCACGGCUAACUACGUGCCAGCAGCCGCGGUAAUACGUAGGUGGCAAGCGUUAUCCGGAAUUAUUGGGCGUAAAGCGCGCGCAGGUGGUUUCUUAAGUCUGUAGUGAAAGCCCACGGCUCAACCGUGGAGGGUCAUUGGAAACUGGGAGACUUGAGUGCAAAAGAGGAAAGUGUAAUUCCAUGUGUAGCGGUGAAAUGCGUAGAGAUAUGGAGGAACACCAGUGGCGAAGGCGACUUUCUGGUCUGUAACUGACACUGAGGCGCGAAAGCGUGGGGAGCAAACAGGAUUAGAUACUCUGGUAGUCCACGCCGUAACGAAUGGGUUUAAAUUUUUUGGGUUUCCCCCCUUUUAUGGGGGAAAUUAACGCUUUUAACCCCCCCCCUGGGGGAUUCCGCCCCAAAGGUAAAAUUCAAAAGAAAUUGGGGGGGGCCCCCCAAAAGGGGGGGGACCUUGGGUUUUAUUUGGAACCACGGGGAAAACCUUUCCCGGUUUUGAACUUCUUUGACAAACCUUGAGAAUAGGGUUUUCCUUUGGGGACAAGGGUGCAAGGUGGGCCUUGUUUGUCUUCAGUUCGGUUGUGGGGAUUUUGGGUUAAUUCCCCCAAGGGGGGCAACCCUUGUUUUUGGUUCCCUCCCUUAAGUGGGCCAUUUUAAGGGGACUCCGGGGGCCAAACGGGGGGAAGGGGGGGAGGACUUCAAUUCUUCUUCCCCCUUUUGCCCGGGGUUCACCCCUGGUUCCAAUGGCGGUUCCAAAAGGUGCCAAACCCGGGGGGGGGGGUUAUUUCCUAAAACCCGUUUCCAUUUCGGAUUUUGGGUUCCAAUUCCCCUCCAGGAAGCGGGAAUCGUUGUUAAUCGGGGUUCACCAGGCCCCGGGGAAUACGUUCCCGGCCCUGGUCCCCCCCCCCCGCCCCCCCCGGGGGGUUUUACCCCCGGAAG
rnacentral:rRNA from 1 species